rnacentral:rRNA from 1 species
CCACGGCGAACGGGUGAGCAAUACCUAGGAACUUUCUUUAAGUUGAGGAUAUCCCAUCGAAAGAUGGUGCAAUACUCAAUGUGAUCGUAAGAUCAAAGCAGCAAUGCGCUUAAAGUGAGGCCUGGGCACCAUCAGCUAGUUGGUAGGGUAAUUGCCUACCAAGGCUAUGACGGUUAGGGGCCCCGAGAGGGGAGUCCCCCACACUGGGACUGCGACACGGCCCAGACUCCUACGGGAGGCAGCAGUUUGGAAUUUUGCACAAUGGGCGAAAGCCUGAUGCAGCGACGCCGCGUGGACGAUGAAGGCCUUCGGGUUGUAAAGUCCUUUUGCUAGGGAACAAUAUUUUGAGCGUACCUAGAGAAUAAGAGGUUGCUAACUCUGUGCCAGCAGCAGCGGUAAUACAGAGACCUCAAGCGUUAUCCGGAAUCAUUGGGCGUAAAGCGUACCGAUAGGUGGUUUUACAAGUCAGAAGUGAAAUCUCUCAGCUUAACUGGGAGAAUGUCUUUUGAAACUGUAAAACUUGAGGGGCAAAGAGGAAGCUGGAACGAACGGUGUAGUAGUGAAAUGCGUUGAUAUCGUUCGGAACACCAAUAGCGUAGGCAGGCUUCUGGGUGCCACC